AAAACAUUUACUCAAACACUCGGUCAGUGUCCAUCAGAGGAGCCUACGCUGGAGUUUAAGAAGCUCUUAGAAUAUUGCUCGUAAUUCACGUAGAGGCGGGCGACAACGCAGCAACACACUUUGACACGAGUCCAAAACAAUGACUCCACGACCUUUACUUCAGACAGCCUCAGCCUUUUGAAGCUCACCAAUAGAGAAGGCAUCAACCCUUCCCUCUGCAACUGGAUACUGGACUUCCUAUCCAACAACCCUAGUCUGUUAGGUUAGAGAACCACACCUCCUCAACCCUGACCCUGAACACCGGCGUGCCUCAAGGCUGUGUGCUAAGUCCUCUCCUCUACUCACUAUUCACGUAUGACUGCAUUCCUGUACAUGUAACUAAUACUUUUGUCAAGUUUGCAGAUGAUACUGCGGUGAUUGGCCUCAUCAGCAACAACGAUGAGUCGGCCUACAGAGAAGAGGUCCAGCACCUAGCGGCGUGGUGCGGCGACAACAACCUGGCUCUCAACAUCAAGAAGACCAAAGAGCUCAUCGUGGACUUCAGGAAGAAAUGCGGCACACACACCCCCAUCCAUAUCAACGGGACGGAGGUUGAGCGUGUGUCACCAGCUUCAAGUUCCUGGGUGUCCACAUCUCUGAGGACCUCUCUUGGACCCUCAACACCUCAACCCUGGUCAAGAAAGCUCACCAGCGUCUCUUCUUCCUUAGGAGACUGAGGACGGCUCAUCUGUCUCCUCAGAUUCUGGUGAAUUUCUACCGCUGCACCAUCGAGAGCAUUCUCACCAACUGCAUCUCAGUGUGGUAUGGCAGCUGCUCUGUUGCGGACCGGAAGUCACUGCAGAGGGUGGUUAAAACUGCCCAACGCAUCACCAGUUUCUCACUCCCAACCAUUGCAGCUGUCCAGGGCAAGAGAUGUCUGCGGAGAGCAUGCAGCAUUGUCAAGGACAGCUCUCACCCCAGCCACAGACUGUUUGCGCUACAGGGUCCUCCGUUCCCGGACUAGCAGGUUCAGGAACAGCUUCAUCCCUGCAGCUGUGACCCUGCUGAACUCUGCACCGCAGUGAUAGCAGCAGCUCCCCCGGCCACACACCCUCCUCCAACCACUGAACAUUUGAACACUUGCACUACACUGUUACAUUUUUUUACUACUGUAUUAUCCUGCCUAUAGUAUAUUCAUAUUUAUAUAUUUUUAUAUAUUUAUCUUAUCAUAUCAUAUAAUACUGUACUACUUAUAUAUAUUACUUACUGUUCAUAGUUCUUAUAUCAUACAAUACCUGUCAACACUGUAUUAUUCCAUAUAUAUUAACUACAGUACAUAUCUUAUUUAUUUACAUUUCAUAUACGCACAAUACU